rnacentral:tRNA from 1 species
GACUUGAUACUUUAAAAGUAAAAGGCCUGAUUUGCAUUUAGGUAAUAAGUUGAUAAACUUUCGGGUC